rnacentral:rRNA from 1 species
GGAGGAAACUCUGAUGCAGCGAUGCCGCGUGAGUGAAGAAGGCCUUUGGGUUGUAAAGCUCUUUUGUAGGGGAAGAUAAUGACUGUACCCUAAGAAUAAGGUCCGGCUAACUUCGUGCCAGCAGCCGCGGUAAUACGAAGGGACCUAGCGUAGUUCGGAAUUACUGGGCGUAAAGCGCGCGUAGGCCGUUGAGUUAGUUAAUUGUGAAAUCCCAAAGCUUAACUUUGGAACUGCAAUUAAAACUGCUCGACUAGAGUUUGAUAGAGGAAAGCGGAAUACAUAGUGUAGAGGUGAAAUUCGUAGAUAUUAUGUAGAACACCAGUUGCGAAGGCGGCUUUCUGGAUCAACACUGACGCUGAGGCGCGAAAGUAUGGGUAGCAAAGAGGAUUAGAUACCCUCGUAGUCCAUACCAUAAACGAUGAUUGCUAGAUGUUGGAAAUUNAUUUUCAGUAUCG